rnacentral:rRNA from 1 species
CAUGGGCGUCUGCCGGUUAAACGGCUCGCCUCAAAUGACUUAGUGGAUCUCUCAGCAUCCGUGACAGACGUAAUAAGUUUCGUCUUGUCCCUUGCAGAUGAGUCCGCUCACAACCUGCCAUCGCGCACUUUUAGACUCUGACCUCAAAUCAGGUAGGACUACCCGCUGAACUUAAGCAUAUCAAUAAGCGGAGGAAAAGAAACUAACAAGGAUUCCCCUAGUAACGGCGAGUGAACCGGGAAGAGCUCAAAUUUGAAAUCUGGCGUCCUCAGGGCGUCCGAGUUGUAAUCUAUAGAGGCGUUUUCCGUGCCGGACCGUGUCCAAGUCCCUUGGAACAGGGUAUCAAAGAGGGUGACAAUCCCGUACUUGACACGACUACCGGUGCUCUGUGAUACGUCUUCUACGAGUCGAGUUGUUUGGGAAUGCAGCUCAAAAUGGGUGGUGAGUUCCAUCUAAAGCUAAAUAUUGGCGAGAGACCGAUAGCGAACAAGUACCGUGAGGGAAAGAUGAAAAGCACUUUGGAAAGAGAGUUAAACAGUACGUGAAAUUGUUGAAAGGGAAACGAUUGAAGUCAGUCGUGACCGAGAGGCUCAGCCGGCUCUGCCGGUGUAUUCCCCUCGGUCGGGUCAACAUCAGUUUUGUCCGGUGGAUAAGGGCGGCAGGAAUGUGGCACCCUCGGGUGUGUUAUAGCCUGCUGUCGCAUACACCGGGUGAGACUGAGGAACGCAGCUCGCCUUUAUGGCCGGGGUCCGCCCACGUACGA